rnacentral:lncRNA from 1 species
GUCUUUUAGGCGUUGAAGACCUGCCUGUAAUACACAUAUUCAAAAUGUGAAAAAACACACACACACUAAAUAACCUAAGUUAAGUAAAUAAGUGUGAUAAUAAUAACACCUUUAGGGUACUUUCAUCUUUCGCCCACCUUCUCUCGAGAAAAAGAUACUCCGAAAACCACAUUGACCAACCUAUGACCUGCAUGUGUUCGAUAGUUUUAUCAUUGUGAAUUGUAAUAUUAUUCUUAAAAUAGUAUCUUCUCGACCUAUAAUUACAUAAUCAAAGAUUAAACAGAGGCAUACUAGCAAAGAUUACAUUUUUUGUUCAAUGAACCAAAAAAAAAAAAUUUGAAAAGGAACUGCAUAAUAUUAAAAAGAAUUAUUAUUUAGUUUAUUUGAAUACUUACAGGAAGAAACUUCGAUGAUUUCUUCAUGACAGCCAAUGUGCUACCAAGACAGCCUGAUCUCUGUUGCAGCACAAUUAAAUAAUAUUAGCAAAGAGCAUAGCCUUUACUGAGAUGGCAAUGACAAAUGCACAAAUAAAUAAGGAAAAUUUCAUUAACUUUAUCCUUCCAAAAGUUCAAAAUUCCAAAUAAUAUCAUUAACUUUAGUCUGUUUCACUAAAUAAAUUAACCAAAAAAACAACGUUAAUACUGUGAAUUAUUUUGAUGCGUGAUAUUAUCUUUGUUAGCUGUGCAUUUAGUAAAAGGAUAUAAUAUGAAAUCGCGCGAAUAAUAAUUAAACAUCAAUAAGGGGUAUAUCGGAUAAUCACCUGAGCAAACACCCAUCCAAUGAGCCAAUCAAUGUCACUUCUAUGAUUAGCUAUCACAAGCGCGUGUUCCUUACCUGAAAACUAUGGUUAGCCAAUGUGCAAAAAUAAUAUUCUUCACUAAACAGACGAAAGUAACAUGUUACAAAAUCAGUAUCCAGCUUACCCAUCAUAUUUAGUGUUUCAGGAUCUGUGUAUAGGUUAACCUGCAGCAAUAGGACGCCAGAAACUUUAAUAAGACUUAUUAAAAGAUAACGUACAUAUAUGUGUGCAUGUGCGUACGCGUGUACGCACUAUGAUAUAAUAUGUCCACAAACUAAUUCAAACAGGAAUCGAUUAGCUCAUAUUAGAAGGAAACAUAAGCAGAAAUAACAUGUAUAACAGUUCUUUUAACAUGUAUCGGUUUUAAAAAAAUGAGAUAUCUAUAGGUAGUUAUUAAUUAAAAGAUGCGGAACAUAGUAAAAAAUGUAACGGCUACAAAAAGUAAGCAUGCAUCUUAUGAGAUAUGGUAAAAGAAGAUAUUAACCUAUAUAUUACAAGUAAAUAAAAUGGCACUAGUUGCCGAUUUGCAGCUAGCCAACAAGAGAUUUAGCGGCGAGGUCCUUAUGAUGUUCCCAAUUACUUAAGAAGUGCUUUUGUAAACACUAGGUUAUCGACUUAUUGCAUUCUUUGAAAAGCUGAAUACCAUUGGAUAAAAGAAAGUGUUCAUGCUUAUUGUUUAUUUUAGUGUGAAAAAGUUGCUUUCAAUCAUUUUGGGAUUGCUAGUUUCGAACUGAUCAGUCUUGUGCAAUCAAAAGGAUGCUACCAUAGGUACACCACCUGACGUCAUCAUAGGUGCCGGGCAGUAUGACAGGGUAAAAAUGGUCAUACAGGCAGUAUGAAAAAGCGAUGGGUGUGGGGAUAGUGUUACAUAAGAAAAUCUAUCAAUCACUGAAUCCACCAUUGAAUCAAGUAGUUGAUUUAGCCCCAAACUUCCCGAAAGCAUCAUUUUUUUAAUCACAAAUACAGUAGAAACUCAUAAUCAAUGAAAUCAGUAAACAUAACAGAGCCCUAAUUUACUUCAAAUGCAUGAAGAUAUGCAUAAACAAAUUAACAAUCAGUAUUAUAAAAAAAAUCAAUAAAAUCAACCUCAUAACCACUGAAAUCAGUAAACAUAACAGAGCAUAAUAUACUUCAUAUCAAUGAACACAUGCAGAAACUAAUAAACAAUUGAAUAAAAUAUAUAAAAAAAUUCAAUAAACUUAACCUCUCCUAAACUCGUAAUCAGUAACCAUAACAGAGCCCUAAUUUACUUCAUAUACAUAAACACAUGCAUAAACUAAUCAAUAAC